rnacentral:rRNA from 1 species
UACGAAGGGGGCUAGCGUUGUUCGGAAUCACUGGGCGUAAAGCGCACGUAGGCGGAUGUGUCAGUCAGGGGUGAAAUCCUGGAGCUCAACUCCAGAACUGCCUUUGAUACUGGAGAGCUUGAGUCCGGGAGAGGUGAGUGGAACUCCGAGUGUAGAGGUGAAAUUCGUAGAUAUUCGGAAGAACACCAGUGGCGAAGGCGGCUCACAUGG